GGCUUCGUAGCUCAACUGGUAGAGCAUUUGUCACUUCUGGGGAUGUUGUUUUUGUCGCUGGUUCGAAUUCAGCCGAAGUCC